GCCGAAGGAAGUGGCGAUAUGGGGGAAAAGAACUUAGUCUGGGUUUCUGUUGUUCGAAGCUUCCAUGGAUGAUUCUUAGCACAUAGCCUGAGAUUUAGGGUUUACAAGAUGGAACUAUCACCUGCGGGAUAGGGAAGGCACUCAUACAAGUUGAGAGGAGAGGACUAUGAGAGAGACGGCCUGAAAUUGGAAAGUCACUUGUUGAAGCAGCAGAGGGCGACUGUUGCAACUGCUUAGCCUGAGCAGCCCUCAUUAAAAAUCAGCCCUCUCCCUCCUCCUUUCCACCUGCUUCCUCCUCAACCAGCUCUCUCUCUCUCUCUCGCCUUUCCAUCCUCACCUCACCUCCUCCCCCUCAAACCCUCCCUCCAUGUCCCCGGACCCCCUCCUAUCUCCCUGAAACCCCACGCCCUGCCUCCUCCCCUCUCCUCCCUCAAGACCCACCUCGCUCCUUCCCUAAGGCCUCGCUGAGUGGUGGCCGCAGCACGACUCCGCUGUCUUCUCGUCGGUGGCCCCUCAGACACUCACCACCUCAAUGAGGGGCGCGGAGGCCAACGCCAUGGGGCUCCUGCUCAAGGAGCGCAUCGUCUUCCUCGGAAGCAGCAUUGACGAUUUCGUCGCGGAUGCCAUUAUCAGGCAGCUUAGUGCUGGCUAUAUAUCCUACCGCUUGUUCGAGAGACUGUGGCUUUUGGCAUUUCAGCUUCAACAGCUUCCAUAAUACCCGGUGGAGGGACUGAACGGAAGUGUCUUGCGAUGCCAAAUACACGCAUAAUAAUGAUUCAUCAACCUCUUGGUCUGCCCAUUCACGUAUCAACUGAUUGCUUAUCCUUAGUUGAGGGUGUUCUGGGCCGAGAAGACCCCCCUGGGCAGGCCCAACCGUUCAUUCUGGACUGCAAACUCCUCCUAGCCCAAAUGGAAGACAUAACUAUUAUCUAUGAGCCCAGGCAGACUAACAUGGCAGCGGACUGGGUAGCACGUGCGCAUCGAGCAAAUUCACUUCCAUGUAAUUGGGUUAAUUAUCCUCCUAUGCCUCUUCUUUCUAUAUUAUGUCUAGAUGUACCUGCUUAUGGAGCCUAUGUUAUGUGCCAGUAAUGAAUAUCAUCUCCUUUCGACAAAAAAAAA